rnacentral:piRNA from 1 species
GUCCUAUGAUGCAGGCCUUACUAGGUGCA